rnacentral:rRNA from 1 species
UACAGAGGUCCCAAGCGUUGUUCGGAUUCACUGGGCGUAAAGGGUGCGUAGGUGGUCAGGUAAGUCGGAUGUGAAAUCUCCGAGCUCAACUCGGAAACUGCAUUGGAAACUACCUGGCUCGAGGGUUGGAGGGGGGACUGGAAUGCUUGGUGUAACAGUGAAAUGCGUAGAUAUCAAGCGGAACACCAGUGGCGAAGGCGAGUCCCUGGACAACUCCUGACACUGAUGCACGAAAGCUAGGGGAGCAAACAGG